rnacentral:rRNA from 1 species
UACGUAGGGUGCGAGCGUUAAUCGGAAUUACUGGGCGUAAAGCGUGCGCAGGCGGCUUUGCAAGACAGAUGUGAAAUCCCCGGGCUCAACCUGGGAACUGCAUUUGUGACUGUAUAGCUAGAGUACGGUAGAGGGGGAUGGAAUUCCGCGUGUAGCAGUGAAAUGCGUAGAUAUGCGGAGGAACACCGAUGGCGAAGGCAAUCCCCUGGGCCUGUACUGACGCUCAUGCACGAAAGCGUGGGGA